CCUGCAUUUGCAUGAUCCAGAAGACAACAUUAACAAACUAAAGAUUAGUGAUCUGUUGUCACAUCUGUGGAUCAAUGACGCAGCUGACAUGAACGAAAGCUCGCCUAUUAAAUAAUAUACAUUGUAUAAGGUGAUAUAAGUUUAAAGAGAAAAUUUAAUUAAAAGCAGCUUAGUUCUUUUGGGGGCACAUAAACAAGGCAAACAUAUGGAAUUUCAGCCUCUUCACAUAAGAUUGGAACAUGAGUGAUCACGCCUAGGCUGGCCUGAAAAAUAAAAAAGCCCAUGACGGCUGGACCGAACCUAGAUCCGUAGAGGAGAUGUUUGCUCGCAAAAGGAAGCUCCUCGAAAGGGAAACAAUUUUUGUGGAGGAUUUGUCUCAAGUCCUUGCAGUUUCAAGAGUGCUACUGGCAGACAAUUGCAAAGGAGCCGGAAAACUUGAUAUCUACCAAAGGAAUGUUAUCCUCAAUGCCGCGAAGGAUCGUCAACUGACAGGACAGGAUAAGUACAUAAAUUUACUCAUUUAUGUACAUUUUAUACUUAGGUUUUGUAUGAGAAACUAGAUUUUAAAAGGGCUUAUUAUUUUACUUUCCUAAUUUUCAGCUUUUC
rnacentral:lncRNA from 1 species